rnacentral:lncRNA from 1 species
AUUCCAUACUCAGAAAGAAGCAGAUUUGGGAGAAAGAGGCAGGUGCGUGCAUUGAGUCCCUGGUUUCCAUUAACCCUGCUAUUUCCUUGCCCUUGACAGUUGAGCCAAUGACUUUAUCAUCUCCUGUCAGCUUCUGUGCCCAGAGUCAGAGGUGGGGGCCCUUCCAGGAUUCUGGAACAGCACUAAUACAGAGAGUUUUUCUGGCUCUGAACCUGGCAUUUAUUAUUGUGUGCUGUAUCAGUGAUGAAGUGUCCUAAUAAGACCCCAUUGCUUCCUAAGCAAGCUAACCGACAUUUGCUUUCA